GAGGGCGACCACUUGGUUUCUGGAGCUGAAGCUACAGAGAUUCUGAGGCCAAUUACACCCCUAUGGAGAAGGAAAUCUUAGCAGCGUAUGAAGGCAUACGAGCAGCUUCAGAGCUUUCAGAUGCAGCU